GAUGAACGCUGGCGGCGUGCUUAACACAUGCAAGUCGAACGAUGAAGCCCAGCUUGCUGGGUGGAUUAGUGGCGAACGGGUGAGUAACACGUGAGUAACCUGCCCUUGACUCUGGGAUAAGCCUGGGAAACUGGGCCUAAUACUGGAUAUGACUUCUCAUCGCAUGGUGGGGGGUGGAAAGAUUUAUUGGUCUUGGAUGGACUCGCGGCCUAUCAGCUUGUUGGUGAGGUAAUGGCUCACCAAGGCGACGACGGGUAGCCGGCCUGAGAGGGUGACCGGCCACACUGGGACUGAGACACGGCCCAGACUCCUACGGGAGGCAGCAGUGGGGAAUAUUGCACAAUGGGCGCAAGCCUGAUGCAGCGACGCCGCGUGAGGGAUGACGGCCUUCGGGUUGUAAACCUCUUUCAGUAGGGAAGAAGCGAGAGUGACGGUACCUGCAGAAGAAGCGCCGGCUAACUACGUG
rnacentral:rRNA from 1 species